UACGGGGGGGGCAAGCGUUGUUCGGAAUUACUGGGCGUAAAGGGCUCGUAGGCGGCCAACUAAGUCGGAUGUGAAAUCCCCAGGCUUAACCUGGGAACUGCAUCCGAUACUGGAUGGCUUGAAUCCGGGAGAGGGAUGCAGAAUUCCAGGUGUAGCGGUGAAAUGCGUAGAUAUCUGGAGGAAUACCGGUGGCGAAGGCGGCAUCCUGGACCGGCAUUGACGCUGAUGAGCGAAAGCUAGGGGAGCGAACAGG
rnacentral:rRNA from 1 species